UGCGUAGGCGGCUCUGUAAGUAUGGUGUGAAAUCUCCCGGCUUAACUGGGAGGGUGCGCUAUAGACUGCGGGGCUCGAGUAUGGGAGAGGAAAGUGGAAUUCCUGGUGUAGCGGUGAAAUGCGUAGAUAUCAGGAGGAACACCGGUGGUGUAAACGGCUUUCUGGACCAUAACUGACGCUGAGGCACGAAAGCGUGGGUAGCAAACAGGAUUAGAUACCCUGGUAGUCCACGCCCUAAACGAUGCACAUUUGGUGUGGGUCAUUCAGUUGAUCCGUGCCGGAGCUAACGCGUUAAAUGUGCCGCCUGGGGAGUACAGUCGCAAGGCUGAA
rnacentral:rRNA from 1 species